UGGCUCAGUUGGUAAAGAAUCUGCCUGCAAUGCAGGAGACCCAGGUUCGAUCCCUGG
rnacentral:tRNA from 1 species